UGUAUUCUUAUCACCCAUAAUUGUUUAUAUUAUACUUGCUUUGUCAUUGUUAUUUUUUUUAAUGCAAAGAAAAAUUAUAGAGUUUGCCACUGUUGCAAAUAAAACUCUGCCACUUCUGCCCACUAUUCCAGGUCCCCAUUCUUCUCUCCAAGAUUAGGUCUUAGCAGAAUAAAUUUGCCAGCUCCCUCUUCUUUCUAUUUUCAGCCUACAAGUUAAAAAAACUCAGAAAACGAUUUUCACUUUCAUCUGAAAUUACAACCAAUAGCCUAGUUCCUGAAGCGAGACCAAAAAGUAUUGGGAAAACUUUCGUCAGUGAGACAGUCACCCAUCACCUGUCAUACCAUUUCCUGCUCUGAAGCUCAAGGGCCGCGGAGCACAGAGGGGAACCCAGAUCAGAGCAGGAAACUUCUCAGCCUGCAGGGGAGAGCUGUAAGCAUGAUAUUUGUUAGCUUGCUGCGGGCAGUCCUGGUCUCCACCUGUCUGGGAUCCAGUGUGGCCCAAAUGGUCACUCAACCUCAACCAGAAGUGUCUGUGCAAGAGGCAGACACAGUGACCCUGGACUGUACGUAUAGCACUAGUGACAGUAAUUAUUAUUUGUUGUGGUACAAACAGCCUCCCAGCGGGGAGAUGAUUUUCAUUAUUGGCCAAGAAGCUUAUAAGCAACAGAAUGCAACCAACAGUCGCUACUCUGUGAACUUCCAGAAAGAAGCCAAAUCCUUCCGUCUCAGGAUCUCAGACUCCCAGCUGGAGGAUGCUGCAAAGUAUUUCUGCGCUUACAGUGGUCCACAGUGAGACGAGCAGCAGAGAGAGGCUUACAGAAACCUCAAACCUCAGCAUCUGUGCAGAGGUCAGGGGAAGUGGUCGGGGUAAGAGGAAUAUAGAAAGUCAUUGACUUCUCCUUGGAAUAAAACCUCCUCCUAUCUGAAUAUAAGAGACACAGAGAGAUGAAUGUCUAUGACUUGUAGUCCUUAACUUAACAGUAAAAAUGACACGUGUAGUGCUUUCCAGUUUUACAAGUUGUCUUCAUACUUGCUAUCAUCUGUAACCCUCAUAGCUUCAUAUGGUAUAUGUGACAGGUCAGACUUCUGAAGCAUUUCCUCUGUCCACCAGAUCUUUAUAAUUUUCCUGGGAGCUCUUACCUCCAAGAAUCUUAAUCUUUUCCAUUUUGUUCAUAGGUGCUUGUUCUUUUAAUUUGUCCAUCCAUGUCCAAAACCGAAUCUCCUCAGAAAAAGGUACCCAUU